GGCGCGGCGCUACCAUGCAGUCGAGGGAGACCGGCCCUUCGGGGCCGGGGAGACCGGCGAACGGGUGAGUACCACGUGAGGAACCUGCCCUGUGCUCCGGGAUAACCCGGGGAAACCCGGGCUAAUACCGGAUGUCCCCGACGGGACGCAUGUCCCGUCCGGGAAAGCUCCGGCGGCACAGGAUGGCCUCGCGCCCUAUCAGCUUGUUGGUGAGGUAACGGCCCACCAAGGCAACGACGGGUAGCUGGCGUGAGAGCGCGACCAGCCACACUGGGACUGAGACACGGCCCAGACUCCUACGGGAGGCAGCAGUGGGGAAUCUUGCGCAAUGGGCGAAAGCCUGACGCAGCGACGCCGCGUGCGGGAAGAAGGCCUUCGGGUUGUAAACCGCUUUCAGGAGGGAAGAAGCUUCGGUGACGGUACCUCCAGAAGAAGCCCCGGCCAACUACGUGCCAGCAGCCGCGGUAAUACGUAGGGGGCAAGCGUUGUCCGGAAUUAUUGGGCGUAAAGAGCUCGUAGGCGGUCCGGCAAGUCGAAUGUGAAAUCUCAGGGCUCAACCCUGAAAUUGCAUCCGAUACUGCCGGACUUGAGGCAGGUAGGGGAGAGCGGAAUUCCUGGUGUAGCGGUGAAAUGCGCAGAUAUCAGGAGGAACACCGGUGGCGAAGGCGGCUCUCUGGGCCUGGCCUGACGCUGAGGAGCGAAAGCGUGGGGAGCGAACAGGAUUAGAUACCCUGGUAGUCCACGCCGUANACGAUGGGUGCUAGGUGUGGGGGGUAGUCCACUCCCUCCGUGCCGCAGCUAACGCACUAAGCACCCCGCCUGGGGACUACGGCCGCAAGGCUAAAACUCAAA
rnacentral:rRNA from 1 species